GUGCUCACUUCAUUAGCAGAUAUACCAAAAUUGGAACGAUAUAGGGAUUAGCAUGCCCCUGUGCAAGGAUGACACUCAAACUCUGGAAGCUUUCAAUAUUUAA